rnacentral:rRNA from 1 species
AUGGAUUGGAAUCCAAAUAUACUCUCUUGGAACGUGAGGGGUCUUAAUAACCCUACUAAAAGAAACGCGGUAAGGGAGUUUGUAAUAGAUGCUAGAGUGAACUUGGUGUGUCUCCUUGAGACGAAGCUACAUGUACUGGAUCAAUACUUGGUGAUGCAAUGUAUUGGGCCAUCGUUUGAUGGCUUUGCUUACCUGCCGGCGAUCGACACAAGGGGUGGUAUUCUGCUCGCGUGGGACAGUUCUUUCAUGGAGAUUGAUAACUUCUCCUGGGACUCUAACUUCCUGACGGGGCGUGUGCGUAACAAAGAUGGAUGGGAGUGGUGGUUAUCCGUGGUCUAUGGCCCACAAGGGGAUGAGUUGAAGACUAAUUUUCUGGUGGAGUUGCAGCAUCGGAGAGAUGUUUGCCCAGGGCCAUGGAUGGUCCUUGGGAACUUCAAUAUGAUCUUAAGAGCGGAGGAGAAGAAUAACACUAAUCUCAACAGAUCCAUGAUGAGGAGAUUCAAGGCGUUUGUGGAUAAUAAUGAGCUCAAAGAGCUUUACAUGCACAGGAGGAGGUUCACAUGGUCUAACGAGAGAGAGAAUGUGGUGAUGACCAAAAUUGAUCGUGUACUGGUUUCGGUGGAUUGGGAGCUCUACUACCCGGAUGUUUUACUCCAAGCUUUAUCCACGAACAUCUCGGACCACGCCCGCUUCACCUUUCCACGGCGGCUCUGUUUUGUGCCAAGAAGAGGUUUAGGUUUGAAUUGUACUGGACCAGGCUUGAGGGUUUUGAGCAGGUGGUGCAGGAAGCAUGGGUGUGCGCCGAGGACAUUAUAG